rnacentral:tRNA from 1 species
UAGCGACCGCCGGAUGAACGGAUAUCAUUGAUGUUGAUAAAUAUAUGCACGUUUGUGCUUGUUGC